AGUGAGUUGGUAUCAAGUUUUAUUUACUCAUUAAUCUUACUAGUCUAUAUGCCAAUUUUUAAAGAUUAUUCCACGAAAUUACAACUCCUUAUGUACAAAAUACAUAUUGACGUUGACCCAAAAUUUUCCUUUCUCUAACUUCAUUUCACAUUGAUGUUUGUUUUAGACUAAGUCCUCCUAAAGGAAAAAAAAAAAAAAUCACUGUCAUGUGCCUUGUUAAUCCCUCUCUUGUAAUAAACAUGGUGUCAAAUUUACUUUGCAUGAAGCAUAUGAGUGCUUUAUUUUAAAUGUAACUUGGGAAGGGCCCUCUUAACAUUCUGUUACUGUUAAGACGUGUUGUUUUGUGUCUAUUUGCUGCUUAUAACCUUCUGUAAAAUUGUAAAAUGUUGCAUAAAAUGUGGUACAUAAAUGCAUGCUAAUAUUAAUAA